AUUCCUUCAGAAGUUGUAAGUAGCCGGCCUGAUACUGUUAGCUCUCUGAGGAUUUCUUCUGAUCGUCAGUUUUCAAAUGAGAGCUUUGACGGAAAGCUGAAGAUAUGGGAAACCUGGGAGCCAGUGCAAUGUGGACUUGCUGAGGACAGCCAAAACAUAAGCAGGAAUGGUCAGUCCUUCGGGCCACUAGCACGAGAAUUUGCCUUUCAGCCAGCCAAACUUUUGGGAUCUCCUGGAGUUGCAAUGGAACCCUUGUUACCAGAUGACCCAACACAGGAUUCCCUUUGAUACGGAAGUCACUCAAGAUAAUGCCUUUGCGAUGGAAGAUGUCAACAAAGGACCAAGGUCUUUGGCAGCACAAAACUGUGGCUGUCCUGGAAGAGGGAAAGAUUGAGCCAGGAAACCUGCUUACAGAUUUGCAUACAUUCCUGUGGUGGUCCUUAUUAACAUCUGUACUACUAAGAGCCGUAACCCGAGAGCAGAGGUGAGAUGCACGCAGAACCGGGCAGAAUGGACUGAAGGGACAGCACAGGCGGGAAAUGCUGGGGCGUAGCAUGACUAGGGCAGCAAAGGGGACUCAUUGUGUCUGGACAUGUCUGGGUGUGUGCUUGCCUGCAGUGAAGAUCUCUGUUUCCUUUCCUGGUGCUGAGAAAUCCCUGGGAAAAGCCAGGGAGCCCAGUGCUGACCCUCAGAGGCCCUCCCACCACACUCCCACUGGACACCCACCCUCACUGGCCUGGAUAAUCCCUCCAGUUGUUGCUUCUGAUAAGUUGUGUCAAUAAAAAGGAAAGGAAAGAAAACUCGGCAAGCAGCAAAAGUGUGAACACAGCCACUGCCUGAUGCCAAGAGCUGUUGCAGCUUCGACCUGCAGAGGAAAGAGAGGCAUGGACAGCCCUGUAAUAGCUCUGAGAUUGCGUUAGUAACCUUAUGCAAGCAUUGAUCUGUGGCCACAGCUCUAGGAUUUGAAGUCCCCAAAGGCUCUAAAAUCCAAGUAUUGUUCUGUUUAUUCAGUUUUUUUUUAAAUGGUGGUGAAAUAUACAAUAAAGCCAUUGCCUU
ensembl:lincRNA Gm43597 predicted gene 43597